GAUGAACGCUGGCGGCGUGCCUAAUACAUGCAAGUCGAGCGAACGGACGAGAAGCUUGCUUCUCUGAUGUUAGCGGCGGACGGGUGAGUAACACGUGGAUAACCUACCUAUAAGACUGGGAUAACUUCGGGAAACCGGAGCUAAUACCGCAUAAUAUUUUGAACCGCAUGGUUCAAAAGUGAAAGACGGUCUUGCUGUCACUUAUAGAUGGAUCCGCGCUGCAUUAGCUAGUUGGUAAGGUAACGGCUUACCAAGGCAACGAUGCAUAGCCGACCUGAGAGGGUGAUCGGCCACACUGGAACUGAGACACGGUCCAGACUCCUACGGGAGGCAGCAGUAGGGAAUCUUCCGCAAUGGGCGAAAGCCUGACGGAGCAACGCCGCGUGAGUGAUGAAGGUCUUCGGAUCGUAAAACUCUGUUAUUAGGGAAGAACAUAUGUGUAAGUAACUGUGCACAUCUUGACGGUACCUAAUCAGAAAGCCACGGCUAACUACGUG
rnacentral:rRNA from 1 species